UGCGCAGCUACCAUGCAGUCGAGCGGAACGAGUUAUCUGAACCUUCGGGGAACGAUAACGGCGUCGAGCGGCGGACGGGUGAGUAAUGCCUAGGAAAUUGCCCUGAUGUGGGGGAUAACCAUUGGAAACGAUGGCUAAUACCGCAUGAUGCCUACGGGCCAAAGAGGGGGACCUUCGGGCCUCUCGCGUCAGGAUAUGCCUAGGUGGGAUUAGCUAGUUGGUGAGGUAAGGGCUCACCAAGGCGACGAUCCCUAGCUGGUCUGAGAGGAUGAUCAGCCACACUGGAACUGAGACACGGUCCAGACUCCUACGGGAGGCAGCAGUGGGGAAUAUUGCACAAUGGGCGCAAGCCUGAUGCAGCCAUGCCGCGUGUGUGAAGAAGGCCUUCGGGUUGUAAAGCACUUUCAGUCGUGAGGAAGGUAGUGUAGUUAAUAGCUGCAUUAUUUGACGUUAGCGACAGAAGAAGCACCGGCUAACUCCGUGCCAGCAGCCGCGGUAAUACGGAGGGUGCGAGCGUUAAUCGGAAUUACUGGGCGUAAAGCGCAUGCAGGUGGUUUGUUAAGUCAGAUGUGAAAGCCCGGGGCUCAACCUCGGAAUUGCAUUUGAAACUGGCAGACUAGAGUACUGUAGAGGGGGGUAGAAUUUCAGGUGUAGCGGUGAAAUGCGUAGAGAUCUGAAAGGAAUACUGGUGGGCGAAGGCGGCCCCCUGGACAAAGACUGACCGCUCAGGUGGCGAAGCGUGGGGGAGCAAACA
rnacentral:rRNA from 1 species